UUGCAGGUACGGAGACAUGGUGCCAAAGACGAUCGCCGGGAAGAUCUUCGGCUCCAUCUGCUCCUUGAGUGGCGUGCUGGUGAUCGCCCUGCCGGUCCCGGUCAUCGUCUCUAAC
rfam:Gasterosteus aculeatus cont1.007506, whole genome shotgun sequence.